rnacentral:rRNA from 1 species
CCUACGGGGGGCAGCAGUGAGGAAUAUUGGUCAAUGGACGAGAGUCUGAACCAGCCAAGUAGCGUGAAGGAUGACUGCCCUAUGGGUUGUAAACUUCUUUUAUAAAGGAAUAAAACGAGGCACGUGUGCCUUUUUGCAUGUACUUUAUGAAUAAGGAUCGGCUAACUCCGUGCCAGCAGCCGCGGUAAUACGGAGGAUCCGAGCGUUAUCCGGAUUUAUUGGGGUUAAAGGGAGCGUAGAUGGGUUGUUAAGUCAGUUGUGAAAGUUUGCGGCUCAACCGUAAAAUUGCAAUUGAUACUGGCAGUCGUGAGUACAGUUGAGGUAGGCGGAAUUCGUGGUGUAGCGGUGAAAUGCUUAGAUAUCACGAAGAACCCCGAUUGCGAAGGCAGCUUACUAAACUGUGACUGACAUUGAUGCUCGAAAGUGUGGGUAUCAAACAGGAUUAGAUACCCCGGUAGUC